UACGAAGGGGGCUAGCGUUGUUCGGAAUUACUGGGCGUAAAGCGUAUGCAGGCGGACUUUUAAGUCGGGGGUGAAAUCCCGAGGCUCAACCUCGGAACUGCCUUCGAUACUGGAAGUCUUGAGUCCGGGAGAGGUGAGUGGAACUCCGAGUGUAGAGGUGAAAUUCGUAGAUAUUCGGAAGAACACCAGUGGCGAAGGCGGCUCACUGGCCUGGUACUGACGCUGAGAUACGAAAGCGUGGGGAGCAAACAGG
rnacentral:rRNA from 1 species